CGUGCCGUGCAGGUCGGUAGAGAGUUUUUGUGAUUUCCGUUAAAUUACCGAGACGCACGCUUCAAACCGCGUGGUUAUCAAUCGGUGUUUCCAGUGUGCUUUGUUCAGUGCUAUUAGAUGUUAUUCUUUAUCGUCGUUGCAUGAACGUUUCAUCGAAGUUCCCAAUAAGCAAAGGACCGUGAUUGGAAUACUUGCAUGGGCUGUGCAACGUGACAGGCAGAAGGAUCAUCGGAUAAGCAGACUACCGAUUGCUGCGCCACUGCUGCCUAACCUCCACAACGCUUUGUUGAGCAACGCAGGUUGACAUCGUUCAGCGCCAUCGAUUCUCGCAGUUUAAUUUCG